rnacentral:rRNA from 1 species
UACGUAGGGGGCAAGCGUUGUCCGGAUUUAUUGGGCGUAAAGAGCGUGUAGGCGGCCAGGUAGGUCCGCUGUGAAAACUCGAGGCUUAACCUCGAGACGUCGGUUGAAACCACCUGGCUAGAGUCCGGAAGAGGAGAGUGGAAUUCCUGGUGUAGCGGUGAAAUGCGCAGAUAUCAGGAAGAACACCCGUGGCGAAGGCGGCUCUCUGGGACGGUACUGACGCUGAGACGCGAAAGCGUGGGGAGCGAACAGG